rnacentral:rRNA from 2 species
CCUGCGGAGGGAUCAUUACCGAGUUUACAACUCCCAAACCCCUGUGAACAUACCAAUUGUUGCCUCGGCGGAUCAGCCCGCUCCCGGUAAAACGGGACGGCCCGCCAGAGGACCCCUAAACUCUGUUUCUAUAUGUAACUUCUGAGUAAAACCAUAAAUAAAUCAAAACUUUCAACAACGGAUCUCUUGGUUCUGGCAUCGAUGAAGAACGCAGCAAAAUGCGAUAAGUAAUGUGAAUUGCAGAAUUCAGUGAAUCAUCGAAUCUUUGAACGCACAUUGCGCCCGCCAGUAUUCUGGCGGGCAUGCCUGUUCGAGCGUCAUUUCAACCCUCAAGCCCCCGGGUUUGGUGUUGGGGAUCGGCGAGCCCUUGCGGCAAGCCGGCCCCGAAAUCUAGUGGCGGUCUCGCUGCAGCUUCCAUUGCGUAGUAGUAAAACCCUCGCAACUGGUACGCGGCGCGGCCAAGCCGUUAAACCCCCAACUUCUGAAUGUUGACCUCGGAUCAGGUAGGAAUACCCGCUGAACUUAAGCAUAUC